rnacentral:lncRNA from 1 species
CACAGAUAUUAUAUUGCCUCCCCCCUCCUUUAUUCUUCUUCUUUUUUUUUUUUUUUGCCAGGAUCCCAUUGUACUUAACUGAAUUUUAUAACGCUGAUCGAUAUCUUGGUAAAAUAUUCAUUUUUAAACUAGCGGGCAGUGAAGUCUUUGCUUUGUGUGCUAAAGUCAACAGUCGCUGGUUCGAGCUCAAAUAAAUGCGGGGAUGCCUCGGCUCGGAGCAGUCGGCCGCCUCCCUCCGCGCGCUGGACGCUCCGCCGCCGGCCGCCCGCAGGAAAAAGAAACACAACUGUAGAGAAAUGGCAUCUCAGUCUUUGCUGUUCGAAUGUCUUGAGUUUCCAGAAAAGCCACCAUUGAAAUUCUUCAGUACCAGAAUUCUCACUCUUCAAAUUACUUGAAAAUGGAUGCUUAUCUUUCCUCAAAGUGAAAAGACUCCCAGGGUACUUGCUACUGUCCUUUCACUCUUUCCCUGGCCCCUGGAAGGAGAAAAGAAAGAAAAAUGGGCUUCUAGCAAAGUUCUUUGGCUUCGUAAAUUCACCUGUCAGUGUACAAAGAUGCUCUGAGGCUUUUCCUGAUUUUCUUAAGUCCACAGCCAAUAGUAACCGUUUUAAAAGUGUGAGAGGAUUGGGAAAGAAAAGCACUUUCCUGUGCUGGGCUCCACAUACUUCUUUUGAACUUUUAAGUGAUGCUUGAGACAUGAAAUCGUCAUUUCUGCAGAGAACAGACAGUUCCUUUCAAAUGACACUCUCAGCAAACACCCUGGCUUCACUGAGAAUGAACAUCCUCUGUUAGGCUGUGAGUCUCAUCUCUGUCUGGUAGCAUUUCUAGAAAAGAAGAUAAAGUACAUUUGAACCCUAACUGUAUUCUAAAGAGUCCCAAUUUAUACCCACAUGUUUGACACAAUUGCCGCUGUUGCAGCUGGAGUCACUUGCAGAACAGAAUGCCCAACCCUCCAUCCAUGGAAGCAUAGUACGUGCUAUUUUAAAGGAGGUUGUCAUAAACCCGUCAUGACCUAAUUUGGUAACAGAGCAACUGUUUUCAUGUUUCUUUCAAAGAAACCUGUGUCCCUCCUUGGUAUUUGAUGCUCUUUGUGUAGAAUAGCAUGACAGAAAAAAUUGGAUAAAAACACAAAGUUCUUAGUGUUAAACAAUAAGGACAUACUUAAGAAACAUAUUUGAAAACAUUUUCAUGUCACGAAAAGUUGGAACGCGUGUGGAAUGAGUGGGGAUCCAUCUUCUUGCGUGUUUCCUGUGAUAAAAGCAGCAUUUUAUGGAUGAAAUGUUAAUUUAGUUUUAGAGACUUUUCACUUAGUUCUCCACAUUUAAAAUGUUUUCAACCACUUGAUGUAGACUACAGAACACAGAAGAAACUGUAUGUGCCUCUCACAGCAUGGCUAUACUCUCUCUAGCAUUCUAUGGUAUUAUCAGCCGGGCAUUUUUCCAUGGUGACAGUAUGUGUUCAAAAUGAAAAUUUCAUUCACCUUUCAAACUGUCACCAUGGGUAAUAAGUUAUGGUUAUUUUUCUUUUCAUCUUAAAAAAUAACUCUCUUGAUCUAGGACCACUCAAAGGACAUUUUGAGUGCUGUGGAAAGUUUGUGGCGUCUUUAAAGGCAAAGCAAAGCCCUCUCUUGACCCAUUUCUAGCUCUCACCCUCUUCUGAAAGGAUUUGUGUUGACAAUUCAGAGAGCCAGAAUGAGGAAUUUUAUCUUCACUGCGCUUGAGUGGAUGGUUCUAGAAGGGUGUGCAAGAGAUUCUGAUUAGAGCCCUGUUUCAUCCAGUUCCCAUCCCAGCUCUCUCCACCCUCCAAAAAAUAAAUAAAUAAACAACUGUGAAAAGUAUUCCCAUUUGGCCUUUAUGAAAGGGCAAACUAUCCCAUGGGGCAGGGAUGACAUGUCAGUUCUCCCUCUGUAAAAUGAGUCCCUUAUUUCUCCAUCAGGCCUGGUGUGAAAGGACGCACCCGGGCUUUGCAGUUGUGUCUUUUGGUAUUGAUGGAGAUCAAGAACACUCUGCACUUUGGUUAUUUUUAAAGAUGCUGUGCGCCUUUAGGGAAGAAUGAAGCAAUUUUCGAGAGGAAAGUAAGCUUAGCAUACCCAGGUGGAUAAACAUUAUCAGGCAAACUGUACUUACUCAUAUAUAAUUCCUUCAGUUUUCCAGGUUCUCGGAGGUAGUUGACACUGCAGUAAGCCAACAGCUUCUUAGUCCAUUACUUUAUCCCCAGCCAAGAAGACCAAUAGGUGCAUAUUUUCACUCUCAUUCCUGAAUUCAUUCACACCCUUUGUCUCCUUCUUUAAAGAUUUUGAACUGCUGAUGUAUGUUUUUAAAAAUGCCAGCACUAACAAAAGUUGACGAUAACUUUCCAUCUUAUUCUGUUUAUCUGAAUGCAUGCACCUAAAUAUAUUUACUGGACUUCUGACUGUCCAUUUUUCUUCCGUGGGAAAUGACAUAAAGAUACCUCAACUUUGACAUAAUUACUAAAAAUACUUUUUAAAAAACCUCAAUUUCUUCUGUUUAGUGAAUAUUUAUUUUAUGAACAUGGGUUGCAGUCUGACUCUGUGUCAGCAUUCUGCUUAUGCAUGGAAUGGUGUCCCUGACUAAGAAGAUAGUUCUAAUGUCUCUCAACAAUGACAUUUCCCAGCAUGAGCAAAUGUGUCUGUGGAAGUAGAAACACCCUUUUCUGGCGUGUUCUCUUCCCUCAUGGAGUGCAGGGGGUACAGAACUCCUAAAGGAUUUUCUGUGUGAUGGAUGAAGCUGAUGUGUUAUCGUACUGGUUCUCUAGGAUGCUAAUUAAGUGUUUAAAUCAUGGAGUAAUUAAACCAUGGAUAAAACAUACCUUGAGUUCACUGAGGCUGAUGCUCUAAGCAUAGGAGGUGUCAAUUUUGUCAUGAGGAAUACAGGGAAUUUUCAAAACAUGCCAUCAGGAUAUAGUUCAAUUUUCCAACAAAAUUCUAAUGACUGCCUAACUCUUCUUGACUCCAUUCUUAUGUUUUCUCUAAAUUUGCUUAUUCACAGCUGCUGGAACAAAAAGAUGAGAUGGAAGCAGGACAUUUGUUUUCCUAAGGCCCCAUCUGACUGAAAGUGCAUGAGCUUCUCUCCACGCUGACCCUUGACCAUCACGAGUGUCCCAAAAGGGCAUACCCCUGCUGCCAGAUUGCUCCUGGAUGCUUUCCUCAGAGUUUCCUAUGAAUAUCAACUGAGGAAUGAGACACAAAAGCAGCCCGUUAGCAGAGAGGCGACGGGCCACGUCCAGAUGUGUGCUGGGCGAGAACAUGGAGUUCUCAGGAUAAGGAAAGAGGGCGCAUAAAAGUUGAGAUGCGCAGACUUGUACCAAACCACCAGGCCACCAACUAUUAGAAUUUGUCAACACAAAGACAUUUAAAUAUAAAAGUGUUGACUUGUCCUGCUGGACAAAUUGAGGUUGUAACAGUUACAUUGCCCAAGUGGACAUUUAACCUCCCCUGAAGUUACCAAAGCUUACCAUGAAUGAAUAAUGGUGAAUGGUGAAUUCUUAUGAAUCUCUCAACUAAGAGUAAGCAACUGGCCUAAGACAUCAUUACUUUUCAAUGAUGAGGAAAAGUCCACUAAUUCAGAGUGAUUGUUUGGGGCAAAAGAUGAUCCAGUACCCACCCUUUGUAGGGCUUUCUUUGCUGGCUGAUAAAACAUGGGAGAUGAGCCCCUGCCUCAUGGAAAGGAGAGUAGUGGCCGACGUUUAAACGGCUGUGAGCCCCCGAAUGGGCAGAGCAGGCUCACUUUUCCCCCAAGGAGCCCUGAACAUAACAGGACACGAACAGCCCAAGGCACACCCACCAAUGCCUCUGCCAUCUGCCCACAUUGGCACACAUAUGCAGUGCUGACUGACAUUCCAAAAGGAAGGGAGUCCCCAGGACCAGCAUGGCCAGCAUGCAGAGAGCAGUACUGUUCUGAGUACCAUUCCUCAUUCUUGGGGUGAGGAAGAGGCUAAAAGGGAUGGAACUCAACUCGUUUAAAGUAAGAAAUGUCAACCCCAAGGGGCGCAGGGCACCUCUCCCUCCCUUUUUGAGACUGAGUGUCCUUCACAAGCUGGCCAUUUGCUGCACGGGGUUUCUAACAAAAUGUGAUUUUUCAGUGUGCUUUGUGUCCGUGGAGAGGCUUCAGAAGGCCCUUGAAGUCCUCAGCCUUAAAUCCAUGUUAACAGGGGGAGGCUUUUCUUGCAGGGUGGGGAGGUUUGGCUGGGAGAAGCCUUGACCCAGCCUGCACUCUAGAUAAACCAGGGCAAAAGACCUCUCUGGUCUGCAGGGCGCUUAUUAACCACUGCUCGUUUGUGGGAUCAAUAUUUCCAGCAAAGGAGUCAACGCUCAAGAGCCACCACUAUGUCUUGUUUUUUUCCUUGACACACUUUUAUAAAUGCAUCUGCCAGAGAAGAAAAGGCAGUACGAGGACUGUGUCUUUUAUCUCCAGGAUAUGCAAAGCACAUUUAUUUUCAGCUUUUAUCUCCGGAAUUGUAUGUUGAUCCCAUACAUAUAGAUUGAUUUUGUUCAGGUAGAUAAUGAAAAGUCAAGUGGAAAAUUACACAAUGGCACUCACGAUCCUGGUCUUAUAUUGGUAUAUAAAUUGGUUUAUUAUUUCAUUCUAUUAAAGAGGCUUUUUUUUUUUUUUUUUUUUUUGGUACCAGGAAAACUUCCAAAUACAACAUGCUGUCAGCCUUACUGAAUUUUCUUUUGGGAGAGGCGGUGGGAGGGGGAGCGGACUGGGCAGAUUCCCUCUGUCCCUUUGCUAAUUGUAUCGGCUAAAUGCGCUUCCACAGAGGAGGGUCCCUGCGGCUUUCUCUCCCCCAGCGCGCUUCAGUGUCACCACGUGGUUUCUCUAACUCUGGGACUUCCCUGGGCCAGAACAAAGAUGUCCAUCACACACCGCCUCUUACAGAGGUGGAUAUUUUUUUCACCCCGGGCAAUUCUAAAUUUUUUCACGAUGAAUGAAAGAAGUGACCCCCCCUGAACACCAAGAGGCCAGGGGUGACGGGGUAGCAGCCGGAUAAAGGCCACCAUCAAGGGACAGCUCCGAGCCAGAAUCCUGGAGGAAACGUUAUUAAUAAACAUCUUCUGGACAUUUGGUAGCCUGUGCGCUUGCUCCAGCUUAAAGCAAUUAAUUCAGGACACUGACAUAAACUCUCCAGGUCUUUGACAGCUUGGAGCCGAAAUAAAAAUGCUAGUUCUCCGGGGAAGGGAAGAGGAUGGCUAGCUCUUUUCUGGACUGUUUGCUUAUAGGCCCAGAAGGCAACCUUCCUUGCAGAAUGAAAUGCAAGGGCACAAACAAUGUACCAGGGAGAGAAUAGAAGAUGGGAAUGAACAGUUUGAACUAUUUGCUCAGCAGAAGGGCACCACAAUGCCGAGGCAGUGGUUUUCCCAUGCAUCCACCGUCCGUUCUUUGGGGUCUUUUGUUGUCCCCUGUCUCUUUUGGCCAGAUAAGAGCACAGCUGCAGCGUGAGCUAAGUAAGGGCAAACUUAUUCCCCAGAUCUCGGGGUGCCUUUUCUGUAACCAGUUUGGCUCAGCUCUCUUUUAUUUCAUGUGCGGAUGGUGGGGGAGAGAAUGGAAGAAUGGAGGGGGCAGGGGAGAGAGGACUGGGACAUCGCCUGUGUCUGAUUCCUGAUUUUCUUUCUUUCUUUCUUAAACCCAGGCAGUGAUCAGACACAAUCUUUGUGGGGCAUUUAAAUGGAAGGGCUCAGCGAGUCGUACUGGUUGCCAGGCCAAAAUGUUGCCUUUUGGGGGAAGGAGGGGAAGGAGGAGUGUUAUGUGGUUCGGGCAAGGGGGGUGGUUAAGGCAGAAUUUGUCGCUUAAAUAAUCAGGCCUCUCUGGCGGCUGAAAAGAGGGAAAUGUUUUCAAUUAGCAAUUUAAAAACUGUGUUCAAUGAUGAUUUGUCACUUUUGAAAGUCAUCCUGGACUCCUCCUUUCUAUACUUAUUUUGUUCAGAAUCCUAAUCAAGAGAGGUUGCUGAAAUCAGAGCAAAACAGGAUGAACUGGAAGUGGGACAUAAAAGGUACUUGCAUAAUUGCCGUAAAUUACACCCCCAAUCAGAGUAAAUGUCACCUAAAUUGUAAUCAAAAUGUUCUUUCACAUUUGUUCUUUUGCAGUCAGGGCCUAUUUUAAACGCCAUAAGAGAAAGUAGAUGUGAUAAUAAGGUAAAAAUCAGCACAAAGUACAGUUUACAUUAAGUUGAUUUUAAAGUCAAAAUCUAGCACAAGUUUGUACUGCCUGGUGUGUGUUCCAAUUCAGCGGGUUUUGCCACCAAUGUCGGUUUUGGGAACCAGGCUACAAUGCUUAAUUCCAUUGUAAUAAGGUUAUUUAGCCUGAAUGGUUUUAUAAGGUGAAAAGGCAAAAAGUUUAACACCAAAGAAAAUUAAUGGUUUACUAUGAUUGCAUUAAACAUUCACAGGCCAGAAGCCCACCUGAGCGAAAUACACAGUUUCAAUGCUGUUGUGGGUUUUUUAACAAUGACAAACUCGCAGAAAAAAACCCUUCUGUAUAUUUUCCUGCUGGGUGGUCAGAAGGAAAGGCCACGAAGCUAAAGGCCUCCCAUUGAGACCCUGCUCUGCAAGGAGCCGACCUCACGUGCCGCCGCCGCGGGAGAUAAGAGCACCUGUCGGUCUCCGCGCUCGCUAGGCAGCGACUCUGCUGACUCUGCGCGCUUGGGCUGGCCACGCGCCCGCCGCACGGCCGGGACAGGGGCUCCCUGCCCGGAACCGUCCAGCCGUCAUGCCUGCGCCGGGCUCAAGACAUCCUGUGACUGUCCCUGUGGCCAUUGUCCGGUAGAGCUGCUAAGUAGUUUUAAUGCCAGUGAGUAUUAAAUUUGGUUUAAAGGGUUUGGGUGUGUGAGUGUGGAUGCAUGUGUGUAGGUGUGUGUGUGUUCUGGCCUAUGUGUGACAGGGAGAGGGCAUGGAACAUGGGGGAACAGUGCUAUUUAGACGUUGGCAAAUAUUUUAUGGCACCAUGAAAAAUCACCCCACCAAAAAUAUGUCAUUUUUGCUAUGACUUUAUGUAAACAUGUAUGGUUGGAUGAUAACCCUUUUUUCUAUAAAGAUUGCAAUAAAACUAUCAAGUACAGUUGUUCUGCAUUUCUUUUGCAAGCACAGAUUUUAACAUUUUGCAUUUAGUACAGAAAUAUUAUCACAUAAUAAAGGACACACUUUUAUUCCCCUGAUGAAGUGCUUAGACUAAAUGGAUCCCAUCUUUAUGAAAAUUGAGGGCCAAGUGGGAAAACUGUAGUUUGCUUGGAUAAAUGUGUUUCUUUUCUCUCUCUUACUCUUGACAUAAAGAAAAACUUAUCCAGGGAAAUUUUUCCAGCUUGGCAUUUUAAGAGUGAUCUGAAAAUCAUGUUGAAUCAUUGUGGAUAACUCAGAACUGAAUUUCCUCAUCUCAAGAUCAUAGAUUUUUCCCCAAGACAGGAAAUGUCCUUUUAUUGUCAAUUUCUGCCAAGAAUGCCCAUGUAACACUAGGCAAUGCACAGCCGCGUGAGCUGGGAGGCCUCAGAGGGAGGAGGAAUCCUGCAGUGAGGGCACAUGCACAAAAAAUGAAUCAGGUUCAAAAGACUGUGGUCAGAAGCAAGGAGCAAGUGAUACAAUCUUAUAUGAGAGGGCUUGGACAUCACACCAGCUGCCACCGGGUUUGAUUAAUGAGGCAUUAAGGAGAUCGAGUGACACUUACAGCUAGUUACUUAUGGUGCUAAUUUCAAAACACUUUGCAAUAGACAAAGAGACUCUGCCCGUAAUGCAAAGUAAUUUGUGGUGUGUUCCCGGUGAAUGCAUUUAGUGAAGCAGAUAUAGUUAUGCAGAAUUCAAAUUAAGUUUGACGCUAAUGUAAACAGAGGCCAGGAACCACCGUCCAGUAAUUUGAUGAGGACACGGGUUUUCAUCAAGCCUCUUCUACUAAAAUAGCAAUUUAAAUCCCCAUCGUUUAAACCGGAUAAAAUGCUUAAAGUCAUGAAGGUUGGGGAAAAAAAUAGAAAUUUACUAGAAGAGAAAAAAGAAACACAAUAUCUCUAGGGAAACUAUGACUCUGCUUUGAUGGACAGAAGGAUAUCCAUGUUGAUUUAAAUAUCAGGUUGAUUUCACUGCCAAAUUCUGGGAAUUCGAAGGCAUUUGCUGUGUAGCUUUUUUGUUGUUGUGAAAUUACGGUUUAACAUAUCCUGGUCAUACUGAUCUCAGAAUAGAAAUAACCCUGGUAAUGAGAAAAUGGAGACUCUGAGCUCAUUCAGAGGCCCCAGAAGUAUUUAUUUUGUUUAUUAAAAAGAGAAAUACUGUGUCAUCCCCCCCUCCCCAACUGAUUUCUAUUUGAAAAUUUCCAAAUUGGCUGGGGGUGGUGGGGUGGCGACAGUCCUGCUUAGGGAGCUGGGCUAACGUCCUGAGAGUUAGCUUUUCCAGGAGGUACUCACACAGUCAUAUGCGGCUUCUCUGGGGUUUGCUAGUUUCUUUCCCUACUAAAAAUCAUUGGGGGCGGGAUGAGGGGUCAGCCCAGGCAUUAAUGUUAAUUAAAAUGCCAGCAGCCCAGGUUCCAGGGCCCCAGAGGCCUUGUGUAUGGGAAACGAAACAAAACAAAAUAGCAACUUAAUCUGUCGCUGCUCUCAGAAGGAAAAACAGUGAAGGCUGGCAUCUCCGAGGGGCUCCCGACUUUACUGCUGGCAAAGGAGUAGGAAGGUGAGGGAACCCUAAAUUCUCUGAAUUGGGAUCUGACUGUCCCAGAUCACAUUAGUGAUGUAUCUUUUGGGGAAGGAGAGUUUUACAAAGAGAUGCGUUUUUAAUUCCUUUCCCAAGAAAGGGCCAAAAACGAUUUGAAAAAAAAAAGGAUUAAGUGGGAAGCUCUUUGAAAACCCUCCCUGCAGUGACUGUCACCGUCACCCAACUUAUGGAACCUAGGAGUGAAAUGUGAACGCUGACAUACUUUGGGGAACAUUUAUCUUGACCCUGGCCCCCCCAGCAUGGUAACAAGCCUCAUGCACGAAGAAACAGUUGAGUCAUGGUCCUGAGGCGGCAUGGGCUGUGAGAGCAGAGCCAGCCUGCUCCUAUCCUGGAGCCGGUGUCCUCUGCCCUUUGCCUCGGCCCCACGAGGACACGUCCUCUUGGGAAAGAGCUGCUGUCCUCUCUCCCGCAUCCUUUCCUGUGGGGUCGGUCAGUGGACCGUCAGUGCUGUUUUAGGGAGAUUCCACUUCAGGGGAAUUACCUGAGGGAAAUCGACGGCUCAAACUCCCUUCCUCCAAAUAUGUCUGAGAGGAGAAGGGAAAUUUGGUAAUGCCCAUCCCUCUGGAGUCAGAGAAAAUGAACUGGAAAUGCGUCUGUGUGAAUCACAGCCGCAAGGACAGCGAUUCUGAAAAUACUGAGUCCGUAUUGCUGUGUCCAAAAAAGACAGACUCUGGCAUCCUAACACUGGGCUUCACUGUCAGGGGUGAGAGGAGACGGACAUCUUUGGAGACCAAUUCGGAGGUGCCUGAGAGCCUGCCUGGCUGAGGUCCACAAGCUGGACACGCCUGCAGGCCCUCCCCGCUUUCUGCUAGGCGAAGAGCAACAAAGAGCAGGGCAGGAAGGUGGGAUGGGAGGCGGGAAGAGUGCAGGGCAAACUUUGCAUGUCAGUGCCUUCCAGAAUGAUGUAAGAAGGGGAAACAAUUUGUUGGGUGAAGACUUAGGGGGCCUCCUGGGUUUGGGGAUGUGUUGGACUCCUCUUGAGCCCUGUCUCAUGGCUUCUUCACCUCACUUCUGAUCCCUGCUGUGACCAUGGAGAGUCCCCAAGGGCCAUGAUGCACUUGACAUUGACACAGAAUGUUGAUUUCUGCCUGUGGGAGGUGCCACCCCACCUGGCCUGGGUGUGCAAGCCUGAAUGUGGCAGAUCACUGCUCACGGCAAUUCCCAAGCCUGGGGGUCAGGGGGACAUGCUUCUCAUCUGAGGACUCUUCUGAUAGGCAUUCCACUCAGCUUUCCAUGUGGUCCUGGCAGGCGGGAGCCCUUGCUGCCCAUGGUAGUGGCCAGCCCAAUGGUACUUCCCUGAGUCAAUGUUUCCUCCUCCCUGCCACGUCUUUCCCUGUGCCUCACUCCUGCUUGCUGAGACCCCCCCCCCCCCCCGACACACACACCCCUUCCUGUUUCCAGCUGAGGGAGGUGACCUCCACCCAUCUCCAUGUGCCCGCGGGUACUGUCCAGUCAGUCCAUGUUUGAGGAGCAACACAGGAGAACCAUUUAGCUGUCUCCUUCAUUGUAUUGUUCAAAUCAUAAUUCUGAAGACCUCAUGCCUCUAAGAUUGCUUGUUAUGUGUUCUCCAAGGCAUCUUCUUAUUUCUUGUGCUGAUCGAUACACUGAUGCAGAAUUGACUCGAGGCGGUUGCAUUUUCAUCCUUGCUGCCCUCUAACGCGGAUGAAAGGCUUCGAGGUGCCAACUCAUCUUUUUUGGCCUCAGUCUCUCUCUCUCUAUCAGAGGGUAAAACUGAACAAUUUCACAGACCAUUGUAAAAAAAAAUAAACAAAGCAAAAAACAACGUAAUUCACUUUGCAAAGCUUUCCUGGAAAUGAAUGAUGCCAGUGAAGUGCUUUGGGCUCCUUUCUUGUUAUAGAAACAUGGGGCAGAAUAGGGUGUGAGCAAAGCCAAUAAGCAGUCAGCAGUUAGCUCUCAAAAUUGGUCGAGAAGUCCUCGCAUUCUUUCGCCUGCUCUGUGAAAGAAAUCCAAACCUGUUUCUCCUGCCCUACCUCUCGAUUUGGAAUCUCAGUGCAAAUCCCAACAUCAACAAGGUUGCUGCGGUUUUUUAUGAUUAUCUCAGGAGUUUGUCUCAAGUGAGACUCACGCAUCGCCAGGGGAAGGUGCCAGGAUCCCCGUCUGUUCGCCCGCUGCUCUCGGCUCAGCACACAUUUCUUCCUUCCCGUCUCUGCAUUGCAAACGCCGCCUCUCCUGGGCAAAGCCUGCUUUCCUACAAGAACCAAGAUCUUCUGCCCUGUAACUCUGGCCCCAGAGACCUCAGCUGAUUUCCUCUUAAACAGAGAAGAGAUGACUAAAUUCUUCUCAUCACUUUAAAGCAUUCCCUGUUCACAGGAAAUAUUGACUCUUUCCGCAUCACACCCCAAGGACAUCCUGGACCGAGCCCAUGGCCCCUCGAUAGCAGGCAGGCCGCUGAGAAGGCUAGGUUGUCUGG